AGUGAACGCCGGCGGUAGGCCUAACACAUGCAAGUCGAACGGCAGCACAGUAAGAGCUUGCUCUUACGGGUGGCGAGUGGCGGACGGGUGAGGAAUACAUCGGAAUCUACUUUUUCGUGGGGGAUAACGUAGGGAAACUUACGCUAAUACCGCAUACGACCUACGGGUGAAAGCAGGGGAUCUUCGGACCUUGCGCGAUUGAAUGAGCCGAUGUCGGAUUAGCUAGUUGGCGGGGUAAAGGCCCACCAAGGCGACGAUCCGUAGCUGGUCUGAGAGGAUGAUCAGCCACUCUGGAACUGAGACACGGUCCAGCCUCCUACGGGAGGCAGCAGUGGGGAAUAUUGGACAAUGGGCGCAAGCCUGAUCCAGCUAUACCGCGUGGGUGAAGAAGGCCUUCGGGUUGUAAAGCCCUUUUGUUGGGAAAGAAAAGCAGCAGGUUAAUACCCCGCUGUUCUGACGGUACCCAAAGAAUAAGCACCGGCUAACUUCGUG
rnacentral:rRNA from 1 species